rnacentral:rRNA from 1 species
UCCUACGGGAGGCAGCAGUGAGGAAUAUUGGUCAAUGGGCGAUAGCCUGAACCAGCCAAGUCGCGUGAGGGAAGACGGCCCUAUGGGUUGUAAACCUCUUUUGUCGGGGAGCAAGGUCGCUACGUGUAGCGAUUUGAGAGUACCCGAAGAAAAAGCAUCGGCUAACUCCGUGCCAGCAGCCGCGGUAAUACGGAGGAUGCGAGCGUUAUCCGGAUUUAUUGGGUUUAAAGGGUGCGCAGGCGGCGAGUUAAGUCAGCGGUAAAAUUUCGGGGCUCAACCCCGACAAGCCGUUGAAACUGGCUUGG